rnacentral:tRNA from 1 species
GGGGGUGUAGCUCAGAUGGUAGAGCAAUUGAUUCACAUGUGAUAGGUAAGGGGAUCGAUGCCCUCACUUCCA